AAUAUGUUCCUGAGCCUUGUACACACCGCCCGUCAAGCCACGAAAGCCAGGGGUACCCGAAGUCGCCUCAUAAGCGCCCACGGUAAACUGGUGAUUGGGACU
rnacentral:rRNA from 1 species